UACGGAGGAUGCAGGCGUUAUCCGGAUUUAUUAGGUUUAAAGGGUGCGUAGGCGGCGAUUUAAGUCAGUGGUGAAAGUUUGCAGCUUAACUGUAAAAUUGCCAUUGAUACUGAAUUGCUUGAAUAUAGUAGAGGUAGGCGGAAUGUGUAGUGUAGCGGUGAAAUGCUUAGAUAUUACACAGAACACCAAUUGCGAAGGCAGCUUACUAUGCUAUGAUUGACGCUGAGGCACGAAAGCGUGGGGAGCGAACAGG
rnacentral:rRNA from 1 species